CCCCUCUCAGUAUCACACCUGGAGAGUUUCCAGUACUCUACCAGCCUCAGCUGUGGGAGGGAGAGUCAAGCAGAGACAUAUUCAUUCCAUUCCUAGCUUGGGCAGUGACUAGCAAGUGGAAGGCAAUCUACUUCAAGA